AUGAACGCUAGCGACAGGCCUAACACAUGCAAGUCGAGGGGCAUCGGGGAUGUAGCAAUACAUCUGCCGGCGACCGGCGCACGGGUGAGUAACACGUAUGCAACCAACCCGUAACAGGGAGAUAACCCGGGGAAAUCCGGACUAAUAUCCCAUGGCAUCACGGUUCCGCAUGGAACUGUGAUUAAAUUUACGAAGGUUACGGACGGGCAUGCGCUCCAUUAGCCAGUUGGCGGGGUAACGGCCCACCAAAGCCACGAUGGAUAGGGGUUCUGAGAGGAAGGUCCCCCACAUUGGAACUGAGACACGGUCCAAACUCCUACGGGAGGCAGCAGUGAGGAAUAUUGGUCAAUGGACGGAAGUCUGAACCAGCCAAGUCGCGUGAAGGAAGACAGUCGGUAAGAUCGUAAACUUCUUUUAUCAGGGAGUAACCGCCGCUACGCGUAGCGGUCUGCAAGUACCUGAAGAAAAAGCAUCGGCUAACUCCGUGCCAGCAGCCGCGGUAAUACGGAGGAUGCGAGCGUUAUCCGGAUUUAUUGGGUUUAAAGGGUGCGUAGGCGGGAUGCCAAGUCAGCGGUGAAAACUCCGGGCUCAACCCGGACCCCGCCGUUGAAACUGGUAACCUAGAGAGUAUUGGAAGUAAGCGGAAUGCGUGGUGUAGCGGUGAAAUGCAUAGAUAUCACGCAGAACCCCGAUUGCGAAGGCAGCUUACUACACUACCACUGACGCUGAAGCACGAAAGCGUGGGUAUCAAACAGGAUUAGAUACCCUGGUAGUCCACGCAGUAAACGAUGAAUACUAACUGUUUGCGAUACACAGUAAGCGGUACAGCGAAAGCGUUAAGUAUUCCACCUGGGGAGUACGCCGGCAACGGUGAAACUCAAAGGAAUUGACGGGGGCCCGCACAAGCGGAGGAACAUGUGGUUUAAUUCGAUGAUACGCGAGGAACCUUACCCGGGCUCAAACGACGGGGGACUACCGGUGAAAGCCGGUAUCCAGCAAUGGCCGCCGUCGAGGUGCUGCAUGGUUUUCGUCAGCUCGUGCCGUGAGGUGUCGGCUUAAGUGCCAUAACGAGCGCAACCCCUAUCGACAGUUACUAACAAGUGGUGUUGAGGACUCUGUCGAGACUGCCAGCGCAAGCUGCGAGGAAGGCGGGGAUGACGUCAAAUCAGCACGGCCCUUACGUCCGGGGCGACACACGUGUUACAAUGGCAGGAACAGAAGGCAGCAACAUAGCAAUAUGAAGCCAAUCCCCAAACCCUGCCUCAGUUCGGAUUGGAGUCUGCAACCCGACUCCAUGAAGCUGGAUUCGCUAGUAAUCGCGCAUCAGCCAUGGCGCGGUGAAUACGUUCCCGGGCCUUGUACACACCGCCCGUCAAGCCAUGGAAGCCGGGAGUACCUGAAGUAUGCAACCGCAAGGAGCGUCCUAAGGUAAAACCGGUAACUGGGGCU
rnacentral:rRNA from 1 species